UACAGAGGUCCCGAGCGUUGUUCGGAUUCACUGGGCGUAAAGGGUGCGUAGGUGGCAUGGCAAGUUUGAUGUGAAAGCUCAGGGCUUAACCCUGAAAUGGCAUUGAAUACUGCUGUGCUGGAGGUUUGGAGGGGGGACUGGAAUGCUCGGUGUAGCAGUGAAAUGCGUAGAGAUCGAGCGGAACACCAGUGGCGAAGGCGAGUUCCUGGACAAGACCUGACGCUGAGGCACGAAAGCCAGGGGAGCAAACAGG
rnacentral:rRNA from 1 species